rnacentral:rRNA from 1 species
UACAGAGGUCUCGAGCGUUGUUCGGAUUCAUUGGGCGUAAAGGGUGCGUAGGUGGCGCUGUAAGUCGGGUGUGAAAUCCUGAGGCUUAACCUCGGAACUGCAUUCGAUACUGCGGCGCUUGAGGGCUGGAGAGGAGACUGGAAUUCAUGGUGUAGCAGUGAAAUGCGUAGAGAUCAUGAGGAAGACCAGUGGCGAAGGCGGCAUCCUGGACCAACACUGACGCUGAGGAGCGAAAGCCAGGGGAGCAAACGGG